GCCCGAUUAACUCAGUUGGCUAGAGUGUCAGACUUGUUCGUACCCCUUCUUAGUCAUAUCUUCUUUCGCACAUUACUAAUAACCACCCAGUUAAUCUGAACGUCGGGGGUUCGAGCCCCCCAUCGGGCG